rnacentral:misc_RNA from 1 species
CGCAAGCGUAGAUUUAGUGAGAAUUCGAAUCACGUGAACCUGUUUGCAAGCGAAAGAUCAUCGGCGAUCAUUCUCGAACGAAAAAAGCCCCGAAUUCUCUUUAAUUUUACAAAAAUCCUCUUUAAUGAUUGGUAUGCACGUUAUGAAUCUCGGUGGUGUAAAAUAAAAAAUUCGGAAUUAUUGGGUUUCGGGAAUGGUUGGUACGUCACAUGCUUCGAUUGGGAGGUUAGUGAAGCAAGGAGAAUCUCGUGGAAGGAAGGAGAAGAGAAGGAAGAAAGGAAAGAAGGGAAAAAAGCGCACAGGUUCUUAUUUACAGCAGGACCUCGCCAGACAUAGCAUUAAGCAAACUACCUGAACGACACCUGGGAUGACGUAUUGCAGCCAAAGUGCGCUGUCUUUAUAUUUUAUGAGUCCGCUUCAUAAAUAGCAGCGUCCCUUAACAACCGAGCAGCUCGAAGACACGCGCCUCCCCACGCGUUAUCCCCACCCCUGUUGUCGUCGAAGAGGAAGAAGAAGCCAGAACUGCAGGCCACGGUGUGUUCAUUUUUACGUCGCUAGUGUCGCCCGCGCGUUUUCAACGAUGCAACACCAUGAACAGAAUUAUUGCCAGCUGUUGCCGUUGUUUUUGCGCCAGCCAGGUAUACCAAGGGACGCAACGUUCACUCGAAACGAACGUUACGUUCCAAAAAUUUCUCACGACAAUGAGUAAUAAAACUUUCACUCGUCACCCUUAAUUUCGUUUUUUCCGGAAAUCUGUUCCGGACUUGACCUGCUCCAAGGUUGUACAAUUACUUUAAACGUUCUCUGGAAACAUUUUACAAGGCGUAACAUGUCAUUUGGAAGUUUUGACAUUUUUAUUGCUCUUGGGGUUAGGGACUUUAAGGUUGGUCGGUGCUAAGCCACCGAUGGUCAAGCAUCGACAUAUAGUUAAAUCAAGUUUUAACGGUUAUUUAGAAUUGCACUUUUGAUUUUUAAUGUUGCUAAAAAUUGCUCGAAUUUUAAGAGUAGUCUCGGAUAGAGUUUUAACAUACUAAUUUCUGAAUCCUAAGAAUCUUCCAUUUUUUACUUUUCAUUCAGAUACGCUUUAAAUCAUCCGUAUCAUUUAUUUCAUCAUUCCAAGAGUCCUCAAGUAAUUAUUUUGGAACACCAAAAAUCGAAAAGGCAAUUCGAUGCAGGAAUUCUUCAAUGGAAUCCAGAAUUCUUGGCUAUUUCAUCGAAUUCAAAAUUCCUAUGGAAUAUCCUGCCUCGAAUUGUCCACUUGACCAACGAACAAGAUUUCCAUAACGUCUCGCCGACCGAGAACAUCACUUUUCCUUUAUCUAAAAUCUCGCAAUC